rnacentral:rRNA from 1 species
AGCGAACGCUCAAACAUCAUGGCAAAGUUUACCAGUCCUUAAUCAAGCGACUGGCAGAAUAAUUAAGUAGCGGGGUGACGGCGUACCUUUUGUAUAAUGGGUCAGCGACUUAUAUUCUGUAGCAAGGUUAACCGAAUAGGGGAGCCGUAGGGAAACCGAGUCUUAAUAGGGCGUCUAGUUGCAGGGUAUAGACC